AUAUGAUUACAUCCUCAGAAGGGAAAAAGAAAAAAAGAGAGAUGGAAAUCUCAUCAUAACUUGGUCUUACAUACAUCAUGUGUAAUUUAGGCGCCAUUCGUUCUGAUCAUUGUAAGAAACUUGGAAAAGAUUCAACAGAGACCCAAUAAACAAAAAAUUAUUUAGACACCCACCCAAUCAACGUGGAAGUUUAAUACAGCAAUUGGGCUCUUAUUAAAUCCAAAAAUACUCGAAUAAAAAAUAAAAAUAAAAAAAGUAAAUGUGAUUUUGUCAGUGAAAAUUGAAAAAAGAGAGUUUUAACAUUUAAGGCAUGAUUAUGUUAAGUUAAUAGAAGCUUGUCGGGGUUGGGGACAGGGGAAUGCACGUGCGUCACCGAAAUCACCAAGAUAUAUUUUGAAGGAAAAGAUGCCACAGCGCACGUGCUUUUUGGGUCAAAGGUCAAAAGUAGUGAUUACACGAGUCUAUCAAGGAUCUUUAAUCUUUAAUAAAGGAAAGGGAGGGAGCCUGGCUCAGAUAAGAACGAUGAUCAUCA
rnacentral:lncRNA from 1 species